CACACACUGUUAUUCUUGUUUGGUGGGAGGAAUGGUUCUGUUACCUACUCACCCUUUCCCUCUGCAAUUUCACACUGUAAACUAUUGCUUUGGACCUAUGAAGACAUGGCUGCUGCAUCCUGUCAUCAUGUCUGUCUGCCUGUGAUUUGCUCUUGAGUCAGAAUUCAGAAACAGAUACAUCAUACUGCUCCAUUUCUGACCAUCCAAGUCCAACUGUGAGGUAAAAAGGAGAAUAUGAGAAGUAAACAUGAAAGAAUCACUACAGUCACUCAUAAAGAAAAAAUGAAUUGGGCAGAGUGACUCACCAGCCCAGAAGGAGAAGAAGGUUACAACUUGCAGUAGUGACAUGUUGACUGCCAGCUGUGUACUCAAGAAGUGGGGACCUGGUGUCUGGAUGUCUCAGGUCAGUGACAGGAGGGUGUGACCUGAACUUGGGUGAGGAAAGGAAUUAGUGGGUUGGGUGAUUCUUGGGCCCUUCAGUACUGGCUUCAGACUGAACAUUGUGCCCAGCAGGCUUGCCCUGUACAUAUUGAAAUAGGGCUGAUGGUCAUAGGGCUCUUUGCAUGAAUGUGAGAACAGGAAGGUGCCCUAGCUUCAAGGGAAGUGCCCAGGAGAUAUUUUAUGAACUCCUUUUCUCUACAUCCCAUUUUUAUAUAUUACAUAUUUAAUAAAUAUUAAUUUUUAUUGUAUCAAAUAUUCAAUAAACAUUUAUUUAGCUUUAAAAAAAUGUUCUCCACCUUUAUAGCCACCACAAUAAUCAGUAUAGACACUUGUAGUUGCAUUAUAUAGAUGAGGAUACAGACUGCUGAAUGGACUUCACAAACACAUAGUUGAAAAGCAGAGCAUGCUGGCAAAUAUACUCAUGAAGAAACUCAGAGAAACAAAAUGAAGAUAAAAAUGACAACAUCCAUGAUCAGAUCAUGAAGGACAACAGCUAUAAAUCAUUAUGGUUUUUUAAUUUCCAGAUUUUUUUAUUUGCAGAUACAUUGAUAUGAAUAUGUUUCCAUGAACUACAAAUAUAUUUAUAUGUACAGAAUUUUGAUUUCUUUAUUCAGUUCAUCAAGUAUUCUGAAAAACUUCCCAUAGCACUGAGGCAUUUUUUGAUGUCUACAACUAUUAAUGGUCUGUGUUUAUCAUUUAGGACCUGUCUGUCUUGUGAAAAUUUCCUCAUCCCUUUAAGCCUCACAUACUUCCUCUGAAAAUGGCUGCAAUAAUUAUACAUAUAUCGAAAUUUUAUGCAAAUUUAAUAAAGCAUAUUGAUGGUUUCUGAGA